rnacentral:rRNA from 1 species
GAUGAACGCUAGCUACAGGCUUAACACAUGCAAGUCGAGGGGAAACGAUAGAGAAAGCUUGCUUUUCUAGGCGUCGACCGGCGCACGGGUGAGUAACGCGUAUCCAACCUUCCGUUUACUCAGGGAUAGCCUUUCGAAAGAAAGAUUAAUACCUGAUAGUAUGGUGAGAUUGCAUGAUAGCACCAUUAAAGAUUUAUUGGUAAACGAUGGGGAUGCGUUCCAUUAGGUAGUAGGCGGGGUAACGGCCCACCUAGCCUGCGAUGGAUAGGGGUUCUGAGAGGAAGGUCCCCCCACAUUGGAACUGAGACACGGUCCAAAACUCCUACGGGAGGCAGCAGUGAGGAAUAUUGGUCAAUGGGCGAGAGCCUGAACCAGCCAAGUAGCGUGAAGGAUGAAGGUCCUACGGAUUGUAAACUUCUUUAUACGGGAAUAAAGUUUCCUACGUGUAGGAUUUUGUAUGUACCGUAUGAAUAAGCAUCGGCUAACUCCGUG